rnacentral:lncRNA from 1 species
AUAUUUCAAGACCUGAAUCUUUUCGUUCCAGAAGAAGAAACCAAAUCUUCAGCCCCAUGAGCCUAGAAGGCCUUCCGAGGGCGGACCUUGAAGCUGGUGGACCGGAUGACGUCAUCGUCGGCGUUGAGCCUCUGCUGCAGGGUGCUCAGGGAAUCGGGCUUGGUGAAGUAGGUGACGAGGAGGUAUAUGCCGUCGUAGUAGGUGGACGGCAGCCCGGUCCGGCUGUUCCUCUUCCUGAUGCUGUAUGCCAGCGGGAUGACGCCCCGGUUGAACACCUCCACGU